rnacentral:lncRNA from 12 species
UUGUCAAUGUUCUCACUAUUCUCUCUAUUUUUUUUCUUUAAUUGCAAAGAUGAAUUAUUCCAGACCUCAUGAUGACAGACUUAAUGACUAUGAAGUAGAGUCGACUGAACCUGUGUAUGAGAAUGUAAUGCGUGACAGGCCGUAGUGUUUGGGACAUGUGGCAAAACAUUUUACAGCCUUUUUCUGUCUCACUGUGGGUGGAGCCUGAAUGAUUGACAGUGUCUUGAUUUACAGAAAUUAAUUUAGAAAUUGGUUUUAUCCAAAUGAUAAGCCUUAAGUGCUGAAAUUUUAUUUGACUGUAUUUAAGCAUAAAAAUACUAUACGAAUUAGAAUGAAAACAAUCUUAAAUUACAACACACAAAAACUACAUCUUAAAACUAAUAUAAUCAUGUAAGAUCUCAUUGGAUGUUAAGUUUAACAUAUUCUGCCUAUUCCGUGUUUUUAAAGAUAUUGUAUAUUGCAUUUUUAUUAAAGUGUAUUGUCAUACCGCA